AUUGAACGCUGGCGGCAUGCCUUACACAUGCAAGUCGAACGGUAACAGGUCUUCGGAUGCUGACGAGUGGCGAACGGGUGAGUAAUACAUCGGAACGUGCCCGAUCGUGGGGGAUAACGAGGCGAAAGCUUUGCUAAUACCGCAUACGAUCUACGGAUGAACGCGGGGGAUCUUCGGACCUCGCGCGGACGGAGCGGCCGAUGGCAGAUUAGGUAGUUGGUGGGAUAAAAGCUUACCAAGCCGACGAUCUGUAGCUGGUCUGAGAGGAUGAUCAGCCACACUGGGACUGAGACACGGCCCAGACUCCUACGGGAGGCAGCAGUGGGGAAUUUUGGACAAUGGGCGAAAGCCUGAUCCAGCCAUGCCGCGUGCAGGAUGAAGGCCUUCGGGUUGUAAACUGCUUUUGUACGGAACGAAAAGCCUCUUUCUAAUAAAGAGGGGUCAUGACGGUACCGUAAGAAUAAGCACCGGCUAACUACGUG
rnacentral:rRNA from 1 species